UGAAUAAAUGAUGACCACUCAUGAUGUGUGAUCCGGGAAUCAUGACUACAGUCUGGGAGUGUGAGGUUCAC
ensembl:snoRNA